rnacentral:tRNA from 1 species
GGUAAUGUGGCUUAGUUAUAGAGUGUUUGCCUCGCAUGCAGGAAGCCCUGGUUCGAUUCCUCAGUACCA